GGCCUGAUGGUCUAAGUAGUAGUAUGAUUCCUUGUUAGGGUACUCUAACUUUCGAGGAGGUCCCGGGUUCAAUUCCCGGUCAGGCCC